rnacentral:lncRNA from 1 species
UUGCAAAGCCUUUAAUUAGAAUGUUUGUAUUUUUUACAUCAUGCAUAACUUCACAUUUGUGAUUAAUUAGUAAUUAUUUCAAUACUUGUAAGCUCAUCUGCCUCAGAUUUAAUCAUAAUACAUGAAUUAAAUUAAUCAAAUUAAGGAACAGCAAUUUAGAAAGAAACACACUUUAAGAAAUCAAAAUUCUCAAUUCAGGCAGUCUGUUUCUAUCAUUUGGUAUUCUACUCCUUUAAAAAUUUCAUAUUGCCCAACAAAAAGUGGUUAUUUUUACUGUUUUUGGAGAUGACUGAACAGAUGAAGGCAUCAGAUGCCUUCAUCAGCUGGUAUUUUGCCUAAGAUCUAUUUAAGAUAACCUUUUCUUAUAUUUUUUACUUAAUAUUGGGCAUAAUCGUAUCAUUCAAGAUUAAGUCUGGGUUAUUUCUUUGAUAAGAACUGAAUGUGGCCGGGCGCAGUGGCUCACGCCUGUAAUCCCAGCACUUUGGGAGGCCGAGGUGGGUGGAUCACAAGGUCAGGAGAUCGAGACCAUCCUGGCUAACACGGUGAAACCCUGUCUCUACUAAAAAUACAAAAAAUUAGCCGGGCGUGGUGGCGGGCGCCCGUAAUCCCAGCUACUCGGGAGGCUGAGGCAGGAGAAUGGCGUGAACCCGGGAGGUGGAGGUUGCAGUGAGCCGAGAUUGUGCCAUUGCACUCCAGCCUGGGAAAGAGAGUGAG